AUUUAAGUAGCUUAAAUUAAAGCAAUGUAUUGAAGAUACAUUUAUGGUAGUAUACCCUUAAAUA
rnacentral:tRNA from 1 species